rnacentral:tRNA from 1 species
CCUUCGAUAGCUCAGUUGGUAGAGCGGUGGACUGUAGAAGAAUAUUCAUAAAGCAGCAGUUAUCCAUAGGUCACUGGUUCAAAUCCGGUUCGAAGGA